UACAGAGGGUGCAAGCGUUAAUCGGAAUUACUGGGCGUAAAGCGUGCGUAGACGGUUACAUAAGUCGGGUGUGAAAGCCCCGGGCUCAACCUGGGAAUUGCAUUCGAGACUGCGUAGCUAGGGUGCGGAAGAGGGAAGCGGAAUUUCCGGUGUAGCGGUGAAAUGCGUAGAUAUCUGAAGGAACAUCAGUGGCGAAAGCGACUUCCUGGACCAAUACUGACGCUCAUGUGCGAAAGCGUGGGGAGCAAACAGG
rnacentral:rRNA from 1 species